UACGGAGGGGGCUAGCGUUUUUCGGAAUUACUGGGCGUAAAGCGCACGUAGGCGGACUGUUAAGUCGGGGGUGAAAUCCCGGGGCUCAACCCCGGAAUGGCCUUCGAUACUGGCGGUCUUGUGGUCUGGAGAGGUGAGUGGAAUUCCGAGUGUAGAGGUGAAAUUCGUAGAUAUUCGUAGGAACACCAGUGGCGAAGUCGGCUCACUGGCCAGAUACUGACGCUGAGGUGCGAAAGCGUGGGGAGCAAACAGG
rnacentral:rRNA from 1 species